CUGAACUAUCUGCAGAGGUCUCCUCUUCUCCGAGAGAAAUGGACCAGAUAUAUGCACAGAGAGAAGAUGCCUGGAUUUGCCUCAUGACAUCAGCUGAUCAGAUAUUAAGAUGACUGCAUCUCAGAACAUGAGGCCCUGUGUUCACCUCUGAUAGACCAGAUGAACCUGCGGAGCAGCAGCAGAGUUUCUUCGAAAGUGUAGUACCUGAGCCUUGGGGACGGACAUUUGGAGCCAUCUACAGAUAACGUAUGCAUUGAAGACGUUUGAAAGUGAGAGUUUUGCAUCUGAACACUUUGAAUAAAUGCUUCAGUACAUGUCUGAACAAUAUUGGGGCAUGUGUAAAGACAGCAGUAUACCUUUGUGAUAUUUUGUUGAUCAGAUAUUCAAUAAAAGG